rnacentral:rRNA from 1 species
GACGAACGCUGGCGGCGUGCUUAACACAUGCAAGUGGUGCGACGAACCAGGGCUUGCCCUGGGGCAAAGCCGCGAACGGGUGAGUAACACGUGAGUAACCUGCCCCGAUGACCGGGACAACCCGAGGAAACUCGGGCUAAUACCGGAUGUGGUGCACAGAUCUAAGUCUGUGCACUAAAGGAAGCUUCGGCCUCCGCAUUGGGAGGGGCUCGCGGCCCAUUAGCUUGUUGGUGGGGUAACGGCCUACCAAGGCAACGAUGGGUAGCUGGUCUGAGAGGACGAUCAGCCACACUGGGACUGAGACACGGCCCAGACUCCUACGGGAGGCAGCAGUGGGGAAUCUUGCGCAAUGCGCGAAAGCGUGACGCAGCAACGCCGCGUGAGGGAAGAAGGCCUUCGGGUUGUAAACCUCUUUCAGGAGGGACGAAGGUUCAGGCGCGAAUAGCGUCCUGGACUGACGGUACCUCCAGAAGAAGCCCCGGCUAACUACGUGCCAGCAGCCGCAGUAACAC